rnacentral:tRNA from 1 species
GCCGGGAUGGCUGAGUGGUUAAAGCGACGGCCUCGAGAUCCCAUCAGGACAUAUUUGGCCAUUGACAUGACAGCCGUUGGGCGUCACGCCCUCGUGGGUUCGAAUCCCACUCCCGGCG